AAACAAGGCCUUAUUGCCAAAACACAAGCCAAAAUCUCAAAUUUUCACACUGGGCUGCAUCCUGCUGGCCGGCUGGCCCCAACCUCAACAAUCUCACUGCCAAGUUCCAAUUCCCAGCUCAGCUCUCUCUCCACACUCCACCACUCCACGCCAUGUUCUUCAUCAUCCACCUCUACUAGUACUCUCUCUCUCUCUCUCUCUCUCUCUCUAACCAACAUCCAGCAAUGAUAUCAUUCCAACCAUUCGCAAACCCUAACCCCACCUCCCUCUACUCCUCCACCACGCCCUCACCCUCCUUUCCCAAAACCCUAACCCCUCCAAAACCCCACCUUCCCAAACCCAAACACUCCACCUCCAUCCGUUCGCUCCUCCAGUACAACCGCAAGCCCCAAUUAUCCGGCGAGACCCCGCGCGUCGUCGUCAUCACCUCCGGCAAGGGCGGUGUCGGCAAGACCACCACCACCGCCAACGUCGGCCUCUCCCUCGCCCGCCUCGGCUUCUCCGUCGUGGCCAUCGACGCCGACGUGGGCCUCCGCAACCUUGAUCUCCUUCUGGGCCUCGAGAACCGGGUUAAUUAUACUGUGGUGGAGGUCCUGAAUGGGGAUUGCAGGCUCGACCAAGCCCUAGUUCGUGAUAAACGAUGGUCCAACUUCGAAUUGCUCUGUAUAUCCAAACCCAGGUCGAAACUGCCGAUGGGAUUUGGCGGGAAAGCCCUAGUUUGGCUUGUUGAUGCCCUUAAAGACCGUCAAGAGGGCUGCCCUGAUUUCAUACUGAUUGACUGUCCAGCUGGCAUUGAUGCCGGCUUCAUCACGGCGAUUACGCCGGCCAACGAGGCUGUUUUAGUCACCACACCAGACAUUACGGCCUUACGUGACGCGGAUAGGGUAACGGGUUUGCUUGAAUGUGAUGGAAUUAAGGAUAUAAAGAUGAUUGUGAACCGGGUUCGGACUGAUAUGAUCAAAGGGGAGGAUAUGAUGUCAGUGCUUGAUGUUCAGGAGAUGUUGGGUUUGGCAUUGUUGGGGGUGAUUCCGGAGGAUUCUGAGGUCAUUAGGAGCACGAAUCGAGGGUUCCCACUUGUGCUGAAUAAGCCGCCUACAUUAGCUGGAAUGGCAUUUGAGCAGGCAGCUUGGAGACUAGUUGAGCAGGAUAGUAUGCAGGCGGUGAUGGUGGAGGAGGAACCGAAAAAGCGUGGGUUCUUUUCAUUCUUUGGAGGGUAGUAAUUGAGCCCAUACUGAGUUUUUGUGUUGUUGGUAUUACGAUUCUUUGGGUGGCUGUGAUUCUGGAAUACAAUUGUUUGGUUUAUGUUUCGGUAGGAGCUGCUUUUGGGGAGAAAGGGGGAGAUUGACAGCAAUGUACAGUGGAAAGUGCAGCAGACAGAUUCAACACAGUUGUGUUUGGAUCAUCGAUUUGUAGAGAGAUUUAUGGAGGGAAAGGGAAACAAAUUGAUAAGUACAUGAUGAAGUGAGGAAGCUAAAUGUAUCAAACGUGAUAUUUUCUUCAACUUUCAUUUGUGAAAUCCAGCUAAAGCGCCUUGAUCCAAACACAGCCCGAGAGCAAUGAUUUCAACUCAGUUUUAGCUGCUUUUCUUGGGGGAUGUGAUACUUUGACAAAAAGGUUCUAGAUUGAUUGCCAUCGAACUUAUUUAUGUGUUUUGUAGCUAUUCGGUCAAGUGUUUCCGGCUUUAUCUCAAGUUCAAACUUUUCAGCAUUUAUUUUCUUGGUUGCCAAUAUAAACGGAAGCAAACCAAAUGGCAGAAUUAAGAGCUGUGGAGGGACAGCUUGAAUGGGACCACUAGGUGUUACUUGUAGAAAUAUCUCAGAAGCAAUGGACUUCCAACAGUGCUUAUUGGAUGCCAAAUUCCACAAAA